CUGUCUUUUACGUCUGAUUGCGUCUCUUCUGACCCAGAGUGCCACAAGCUGCUCAUAUAAGGCCUUCGAGACACUGAGCCUCUUUUUAAGCUUUUCUUAUUAAGCGUGAGAUGCCGAGUAGAGUUUGUCUGGCUGCGUUAAAACAAAAAAAAUAUUUUAAAAAAAUGAUUAAAAAUCUAGCAGCUUUAAUUCCAUGUACGUGUUGUUCCAGAAAUAGCCUGAAUUUGGAUGACAUCAGGUAAGUAUUUUUCCGGCACGACACUGGCCUGAUCUCCUUCUCACUCCUGCAUGUGAGAUAUCAGCUGUCCUGGGGGGGUGUCGCUUGCUAGCCAGCUGACCGUAGCAUGUAUGUAAGGCAGGACAUGCUUUAGUUUGUAAAUGCAUUUAUAAUUUGGAAUGCAUCUUUUGAAAAGCGCUGUCAACUUUGCAGCAUUGCAAGUCAAAGCCUAUUCUUUUCAGGUUAGUUGUGCAAUUGAAAGUGGGUGGCAAGUAUUUUCUUACCGUGGAGGGAAGGUGCUGGCCAACACACGCGAGGGGUCUGGCACAUGCACACUGCGAGGCUGGCUCGUGCCCGUGCCCGUGACUGAGAAUUAUUUCGCGCUUGCUGGCUGUUUGAGUUUAAAGAUCUGUCUGAUUUAUAAAACACGGCAUGUGAAUUUUUCCUCGCCUCUGAGAAAGACGCCGUUAAAUGGCUUGUAUGCAAUCAUGAUUGUACGGCUUCACGGCCGUCGGAGGGCUGUAACGUCCCACUGAGCUGCACUGCGGGCGCCUCUCCUUCCCCUCUCUUACCCGCCGGCAGCCCCAGUGCCGGAAGGAGCGUUACGUGGGGCCCAUUACCAUGGUAAUUAGUUCAGUCAAAUGCCUGAAAGUUUCAGCACUGGCAGGGUUAAUGCCGCCCGCUUAUUUUACAGGCAUUCUCUGCAGCUGUAUGAUGUCCACAUCACUGCAGAGAGGCUGUAUGUCCUCGACACUCGCUGUUCACCACCCCCCCGUUCUGUGUUCAGUCACUGCCCCCCCCCCCAUACACCUCUGCCUGGUAUUCUUGGGGUGGGGGACACCUCAAGACCCUUGAUAUACUCCUUGUACUGUGCUUCUCUGUCACCAUUUAUGAACUACAUCAGUCCUGGCAACUAACCGCCUGGAUAUUACCCUGCGAUGUCUUGACAUUUUGAAAGUAGGUUUGGGAACGUUUAAUCUUGUUCCACCACAUUUUCCGUGUCUAAAGGCACUGAAAUUUCAGAUCUUGAUGAUUUUGCGGCGGAAGUGAAGAGAAAACAACAUGGCAGGCAUUUUUCCAGCCAUUAAUAAGAUUUUGAAACAAACAGCGCUGAAGUGAAACAUCGGAGGAUGACUGCGUGUGCGAAUAUCUACUCUCUGUUUUUGAGAUCUACUUCACAGAAUGUUUGGAGGAUGCAGCAGAAGACUGUAAAGGGGAUGUAGUGUGUUUACGUUACGGGAAAACUGUUUGACUUUAUCCUGCUUCAGCCCUACCGUCAUGGUCAUGGUCAUUGCAGAGGCAGGUCUCAAAGCCGGGGUGCACGCUGCAUGGGAGGCCACACACACACACCCACACACUGUUAGUAGUCAUAUAGUCUGAGCAGUUUAGAGAUGACAUUUAGCUUGAGGUCCUUGGGUGGGAAUGCAAAUCAAAGAGGAACACCCCCCCCCCCCCCCCCCCCCCGCGUGUCAUGUGCACAGAACAGAGUUUCCCAGUGAGAUCCGUGACGGUAGGAAUGCGGAUGCAUCCACACCGACGUUCAGCCGCUUCCCACAGAAUGAACGGUUUUCUCUCUCCUCAUGAACACGUGCCCUCCGAAGGCUGAUCCUGUUAUCUUUGUCUGGCUGGAGGGGGCUAUGCUGCCGCUCUACGGGCCCCCGGAGGGCGAGGACGACAUGUCAGACAUGCGACUGAGAGCUGGUCCAUCUUCAGGCGAUACCUCGAAUUCUAUGUCCUCGAGUCGAAACUUACCGAGUUUCACGGUGGGUGUCACGCUCCUUCCAUUACAUCUCUCCUCUUUUGUCUCCCCUGUAUUUCGCUUCUUCUCACCGUUUGUCCAGAGUUACUGGGAACCUGUAAUAUUGGGCCCCAGUUGACCCAAAGCGAUGUCAUUCAAUCUUAAUCUAAUUAGCUGUGGCGUCAAUAUGAAAUGCUAAAGCGUGAAAUUACUGGUUAAGCCCGGUCUGUUGUUCUAUUUCAUAGGCUCCUUUCCGGAUGCCCAGCUACCAUCCAAAUGAGGGAGGAGUUUGACGAAUAUCUCCAGAAACUACUGCUGCACCCGGAGCUCAGCAACAACCAACUUCUGGCUGGGCUUCCUGUCUCCAAACAGCUUGGAGUCGCAGUUCCUGGAAAAGAUGCUCCCAGACGUAAACUUGGAGCUGCUGGGAAAGUGCAUCGGCGAGGAGGCUAAAUAUGAGGGAGUCCGCCUGCUCUUUGAUGGGCUGCAGCAGCCGAUCCUCAGGAUGACCUACGUCCUGCUAGACAUCGCUGUUCAAGAGCUUUUUCCAGAACUA